AACGCUAGCUACAGGCUUAACACAUGCAAGUCGAGGGGCAGCAUUCUUAUAGCAAUAUAAGAGAUGGCGACCGGCGCACGGGUGAGUAACACGUAUCCAACCUGCCGACAACUCCGGAAUAACCCUUCGAAAGAAGGACUAAUACCGGAUAGCACCAAUAGAGGACAUCUUCUUUUGGUUAAAGAUUCAUCGGUUGUCGAUGGGGAUGCGUUCCAUUAGGCAGUUGGCGGGGUAACGGCCCACCAAACCAUCGAUGGAUAGGGGUUCUGAGAGGAAGGUCCCCCACAUUGGAACUGAGACACGGUCCAAACUCCUACGGGAGGCAGCAGUGAGGAAUAUUGGUCAAUGGGCGAGAGCCUGAACCAGCCAAGUAGCGUGAAGGAUGAAGGCUCUAUGGGUCGUAAACUUCUUUUAUAUGGGAAUAAAGUUUGCCACGUGUGGCAUUUUGUAUGUACCAUAUGAAUAAGGAUCGGCUAACUCCGUGCCAGCAGCCGCGGUAAUACGGAGGAUCCGAGCGUUAUCCGGAUUUAUUGGGUUUAAAGGGAGCGUAGGCGGAUUAUUAAGUCAGUUGUGAAAGUUUACGGCUCAACCGUGAAAUUGCAGUUGAUACUGGUAGUCUUGAGUGCAGUAGAGGUAAGCGGAAUUCGUGGUGUAGCGGUGAAAUGCUUAGAUAUCACGAAGAACUCCGAUUG
rnacentral:rRNA from 1 species